CCCUUAGAUGUUCUGGGCCGCACGCGCGCUACACUGAUGCAUUCAACGAGUCUAAAACCUGCUCUGAUAGGGGUGGGUAAUCUUUUGAAUGUGCAUCGUGAUUGGGAUAGAUGAUUGCAAUUUUUCAUCUUCAACGAGGAAUGCCUAGUAAACGCAAGUCAUCAGCUUGCAUUGAUUACGUCCCUGCCCUUUGUACACACCGCCCGUCGCUCCUACCGAUUGAAUGAUCCGAUGAAUAUCAUGGAUUGAGGAUGCAAGUAGGUUCGCCUAUCUUCAUCUUCGAGAAGUGAAGUAAAUCUUAUCAUCUAGAGGAAGGUGAAGUCGUAACA
rnacentral:rRNA from 1 species